rnacentral:rRNA from 1 species
CAACAGGGAUUGCCCUAGUAACGGCGAGUGAAGCGGCAACAGCUCAAAUUUGAAAUCUGGCCCUCGCGGUCCGAGUUGUAAUUUGUAGAGGAUGCUUUGGGCGCGGCGCCUUCCAAGUUCCCUAGAACGGGACGCCUUAGAGGGUGAGAGCCCCGUACGGUUGGACGCCUAGCCUAUGUAUAGCUCCUUCGACGAGUCGAGUAGUUUGGGAAUGCUGCUCUAAAUGGGAGGUAAAUUUCUUCUAAAGCUAAAUACCGGCCAGAGACCGAUAGCGCACAAGUAGAGUGAUCGAAAGAUGAAAAGUACUUUGAAAAGAGGGUUAAAUAGCACGUGAAAUUGUUGAAAGGGAAGCGUUUGCGACCAGACCUUUUCCAGGCGGAUCAUCCGGCGUUCUCGCCGGUGCACUUCGCCUGGUUUAGGCCAGCAUCGGUUUUCCCAGGGGGAUAAAGGCGGCGGGAACGUAGCUCUUUCGGGAGUGUUAUAGCCCGCCGCGUAAUACCCUUGGGGGGACCGAGGACCGCGCUUCGGCAAGGAUGCUGGCGUAAUGGUCGUCAACGACCCGUCUUGAAACACGGACCAAGGAGUCGAACAUUUGUGCGAGUGUUUAGGUGUCAAACCCUCACGCGUAAUGAAAGUGAACGGAGGUGAGAGCCCCUCGCGGGUGCAUCAUCGACCGAUCCUGAUGUCUUCGGAUGGAUUUGAGUAAGAGCAUAACUGUUCGGACCCGAAAGAUGGUGAACUAUGCGUGGAUAGGGUGAAGCCAGAGGAAACUCUGGUGGAGGCUCGCAGCGGUUCUGACGUGCAAAUCGAUCGUCAAAUCUGCGCAUGGGGGC